UACGGAGGGCGCAAGCGUUGUUCGGAAUCACUGGGCGUAAAGCGCGUGUAGGCGGCUUUGCAAGUCGGGUGUGAAAUCCCGAGGCUCAACCUCGGAACUGCACUCGAUACUGCCAGACUUGAGCAAUGGAGAGGUAGCUGGAAUUAUCGGUGUAGCAGUGAAAUGCGUAGAUAUCGAUAGGAACACUCGUGGCGAAAGCGAGCUACUGGACAUUUGCUGACGCUGAGGCUCGAAGGCUAGGGGAGCGAAAGGG
rnacentral:rRNA from 1 species